UACAGAGGGGGCAAGCGUUGUUCGGAAUUACUGGGCGUAAAGGGCGCGUAGGCGGCCUUCUAAGUCGAACGUGAAAUCCCCGGGCUCAACCCGGGAACUGCGUCCGAUACUGGAGGGCUUGAAUCCGGGAGAGGGAUGUGGAAUUCCAGGUGUAGCGGUGAAAUGCGUAGAUAUCUGGAGGAACACCGGUGGCGAAGGCGACAUCCUGGACCGGUAUUGACGCUGAGGCGCGAAAGCCAGGGGAGCAAACGGG
rnacentral:rRNA from 1 species